AGGGUUUGAUCAUGGCUCAGGAUGAACGCUGGCGGUAUGCCUUAUACAUGCAAGUCGUACGAGAGUUUUUAACUCAAGUGGCGGACGGGUGAGUAACACGUAAGAAUUUACCUUUAGGAGGGGGACAACAAUCGGAAACGGCUGCUAAUACCCCAUAUGCUUUCGAGUGAAAUGGAUUUUCCGCCUAGAGAGAAGCUUGCGGCUGAUUAGCUUGUUGGUAGAGUAAUAGCCUACCAAGGCGACGAUCAGUAUCUGGUUUGAGAGGACGAUCAGACACACUGGAACUGAGACACGGUCCAGACUCUUACGGGAGGCAGCAGUAGGGAAUUUUCCGCAAUGGGCGAAAGCCUGACGGAGCAACGCCGCGUGAGGGAUGAAGGCCUCUGGGCUGUAAGCCUCUUUUAUCAAGGAAGAAGAUCUGACGGUACUUGAUGAAUAAGCCACGGCUAAUUCCGUGCCAGCCGCCGCGGUAAUAC
rnacentral:rRNA from 1 species